UUGGCUCUCUAGCCCCUCCCAGUGACUCCUGCUGGCAUAUACAGGCACAGUCUCAUCCAGAAAGAGACCAAGGGAACAUAAGUUUGAGUCAGUCUGAGGGACAGAGCUCAGUCCUGAAGUUCAGCUGAAGGAGAAGCAUGGAGAGUAAGCUGUCUGCAAAGGGCAGCCACCCACAGCAGCGCCCAGGGAGCUGGGGGUUAAGGGCCUUGCUCAAGGACCCGCAGACGUGCUGAGACUGGGUUUGAAUCGGCGACCUGCUGAUUACAGGCACAGCCCACUGCGCCACACACUGCCAUGCCAAAAAUCAAGUCUUGAGAGGUCCGGAGCCUACCCCGGAGGUUACAGGCACAAGAGGAUCCUAUUUGGGAAGCCCUUUCGGCAGAUCCUGAUGCCUUCCAGCACACCGUUACAGCGCAGCUGGUGCAUGACCAGAGGGUUCUCCAUGGCUCCUGGAGUUUUGGUCUCAUUGGGGAUGAUGCAGCGGACAAAGUGAGGGUGAGUCGAUCUCAGGUUGGUCAUCAGCUUAUUCAAGUUCUCCUGUGUUUGGAAAACACUUUGUUAUUUUUCACAAAAGUAAAAGAACCCACUUGGCUGUAUAAUCAUUUCUUUCUUAUCAUUUUACCACUUUAUGAUAUAAUCAUUAUAUUCUUGGUUAUAUUUUGUGAAGUUCCUCACCCUGUGGAGAGCAGACACAGUCUGGAAGGAGGAGCCUUUCUUCUUUCCGCCUCCUCCCUUGCCUCCCUUUCCACCUCCCUGUUCCGAAGCUGUAAAGUAUUAUGUUGAGGCAAAGUAAACACCUGAACAAAAUGAUUACAUAUUUUUGAUACCUAAAAGAACGUAAAGAAAGUAUAAUUAUUACAACAUACUUGUAAAAUACAUAUUUAAUUGAGAUCUUACCUGAAUCAGCGCCAGCAUAAUUUACAAAAAGAUUAGCCAGCAGUUUCAUUGUCGACUUCUGAUACAAUCCCACAACCGUCUCAUUCAAAGGGUCCUUGUUCUUCACCAGCCAGUUGUUGAUGUUGUAGUCUACAGUGCCAGCAUAGUGAACCAGGGAGAAAUGGGCCUCUGGUUUCCCUUUAACAACCCUGGGCUUCUGGAAGUUGUUUGACUUUCCCAGAUGGUUGUCAUACAGCUUAGCUUUGAAGGUAGCAUCACUAGCCUUAGGGAACAUGCACUCCUCUUCAAGGAUGGACAUGAUGCCCAUGGGCUGAAGAAAGACAAGCAGUAUCACCAAAAAUUUAACACGACUGUGUUGAAGAUAAACAUAUACAAGCAUCCAUAUUCACAUAUAAUGAAAUUCUUGUCAAAUUGCUUUUCACUUAUAAGUUUUGGCUGUUAAAUUUUGAUUUUGAAGAUUUUAAAGUCUUAGCCAUUGCUGUUACACUUCACCUUGUGUCAAUGUUAAAUGUGAAAACCAAGUCAACCGACCUUCUCAAUGAGGUCAAUGCAGGCCUGCAGGUCCAUGCCAAAGUCAAUGAACUCCCACUCAAUCCCCUCUUUCUUGUAUUCUUCCUGCUCCAGCACAAACAUGUGGUGGUUGAAGAACUGCUGCAACUUCUCAUUAGUGAAGUUGAUACACAGCUGCUCAAAGGUGUUGAACUGAGAAAAAAAAGAGGAGAUGGUUCUUUAAUGUUCCCAAGUAAGGAAAAGGUGACAAGAGAAUGAGUUACAGUACUGUACAAAACUCUUAGGCAGUUAAAGGAAAUGUUUGACACUAUCUGGGUAGUAAAUUUAUAUUUCCCGAACAAAAACAAAUGCAUUUUAACAUCAGAAUAUAUGCAUAUGAAGAGUGACACAAUAAAUACCAACAGUAAUUUAUUUUUUUCUCCAAAAAGUUACGGACACCUUGUUGGAUGCCUUGAUGAACAUCACUUCAGUUCCCAAACCUGUCUUCAGGGGCACUCCAGCUAUUCCAUGUAUUUCGUUAAAUUUUAUCACAAGUUCACUCAGUUAAUUAAUUUAAAUAGUUUAAAAAGUCAAUGAGUUAUUGAUUAGCCAUAGGUGUGCAAGUGGUCAAAUUAAAAAAUACAUGGGUCUAUUUGACAGUUGCUGCAAACACUGGAUGAUCUAUUAGGGGUUUUGAAAUGGUUAAGCUGACACAUUUUGACAGUCAUAAUAGCUUGUUAUAGUAUAUUUUUCUAUAUAUGCCUAAGACUUUUGCAUGGUACUGUACCAAUAAAAGUAUUACAAUAUGACAGCAGGACUCACAUCAAAGAUCUCAAAGCCGGCAAUGUCCAGCACACCAAUGAAAUACUGGCGAGGUUGCUUGGUGUCCAGGGAUUGGUUGAUUCUCAUCACCAUCCAUAGGAACAUCUUCUCAUAUACUGACUUAGACAGAGCACCAACAGCAUAAUACACCUGUGAAGUGGGACAUAGUAAGUUUUAGUGAUUAUAAUACUACCCAUCCAUCUUCCAACUGCUUAUCCUGGACAGGGUCGUAGAGUGCCCUGGAGCCUGUGCCAGACACCACAUUGGGGUACACCUGGAAUGUGAUGCCAGACCUAUUUCCCUAGAAAUCUUUCCUCACCUGAUCGACAUUCUGCCCCUUGGUGACCCACUCAUUGCCUACUUUGACCCUUGGAUGACACAGGCCCUUGAUAAGAUCAGCAGAAUUGAGCCCCAUCAGAUAAGCAGAUUUGUCAGCAUCUACAACAGAAUAGAUAGAAGAUAUCUUCCAAAUGAAUGCUCAUAUUUACAAGUACUUCAUCUAUUUAUGAUAUAGAACAGGAGCAAAACAGGAGCUUUUUGAAUAAGCUUAGAUGAGAGACGUUUUCUAUUGGCUCACAUUAACAUUGCAGAGUGCAAUUGUCUUGACUAUAUUUGUGGAGCUAAGUACCCACCUUCAGUACCAUCGGCCUCCGCCUGUUCCUCACGCUGCUUCUGCUUGAACUUCAUGUUUCCAUAGUGCAUGAUGGCACCAAUUAGCUUGUAAAUGCUAUUCUUCUCCUCCUGAGUGAAGCCCAGCACAUCAAAAGCUUCCUGCAGGAAAGAAGCACAGAGGACAGAGCUUUCAUGUCAACUCAGGGAGUUAUUCAGCCUGGGAAUUAGGAAACAUUAUUACAGUAAUCCAUGAUAAAUACUUAAAGAAAAGCUAAAAUAUUCACUCACAUCAGUGGCACAAAGUUCAUCACCAUCAUUAAUGGAGGCUACGGUGGUCUCUCCUUGGGAGAUGAAAGCGUAGUCGUAGGGGUUGUUGGUAAUAAGCAGCAUCUCUAAUCAGGAAAAAAACAUCAAAUAAUUUAACAUCCAGUAACAUUUGUGAGCAAAAUUAAACUGUUAGUAGUGCCACAACUGCGAGACCAACCCAGCAAUUCUGGCUUCCUUUGGGACAGAAUUUGGUAGAAGAUGUGAUAGUCUCUCUCAGCUUUCAACUGGAAUGUCACACGAGACUUCUCCAGAAGAUCUAGAAAAGAACAAGCAAUAAUUCCAUUGAAACUAAAUUGUUGUCCUUAAUGAAUGUGCCAAGAUGCAUCUUCAAAAUCUUCACAAGAAGCUCCACUUACAUGUCUCAAUAUCAGCAGAAGCCAGCUUUCCACUGGCUGCAAAGUGAAUUCUGAUAAAUUUACCCUAAAAAGAGUCAAAUGUCAUUAUUUAUUUUCAUAAACUAUGCUUUCUGUGUAGGUGUUUGAUUAUACACUUACAAAUCUGGAGGAGUUGUCAUUCCUGAUGGUCUUCGCAUUACCAAAGGCCUCCAGGGCUGGAUUGCACUGGAUGAUUUGAUCCUCCAGGGUCCCCUGGAAUAUUAGCCAGUGAACAGGUAUACUCUAUAUUACUGGGGCCCCAGAACACCUCUCCAAAGAAUGCUGAACCCAGCUUAAUUCUUCCAGAAAGCUCACACAGCAUCCAAGGUUGCAUGUACCUUCUUGUCAGUCACCUCCUUCUUCCCACCCCCAGCUGCAAUGCUGGCAAAGUACUGAAUGACCCUCUUUGUGUUCACAGUCUUCCCAGCACCAGAUUCUCCACUGUGGUCAAGAACCAAAUGUGUUAAACCAUAAUGGUGUAGGGUCACUCUUCAAAAACACAAUAAGCUGCAAAAAUAUUAGGCUGUCAAAGAAAAUAUUUAAGGCUAUUUAUCUGUAUAGUAAAUUUGCUCAGGAAAACAGACACAAUUUAACAUUAAAACACAGUAAAAAAGAAAAUAAAAAGAGAUUUCUUCCAUUCUCCAAAAAGUUCUAGUUGGAUCUAGUAUCUAGUUGGAUGGCUAGAUGAACACCGCUUCAGUUCCCAAACCUCUCCUCAGGGGCACCUCAGCCAUUCCAUGUAUUCAUGAAACUUCACCACCAGCAUAAUCAAUUAAUUGACUUAAUUAGUUAUUUUGCCAUGCACCGAUCAUUUCGAUCCUCCUGUGUGCCAUGCCCUUUCUUUUACCUUAUGUGGAAUCCCCAUGUUAUCAGCUGUUUCUAGUUAUGUUAAUCAGUGUUGUGUAUUAAAAUGAGUUUCUGUGAGUGAUUCCCCAGUCCAGUCAUUAACGUCAUAAAAGUCGUUCCGUGCUCCUGAGUGUGUCCUACGUGAAUAAACCCCGUGUUCACCCGUCACCCAGAAACGUGACAUGUAUAAGUCAAUGAGGUAUUAAUCAGCCAAUAAAAGUGGGGUAGGGCUUGAGUCAAAAGUACAUGGCUGUAUUGGACAAUGAUUUUAGAAGGGGUUUUGAAAUGGCUAAGCUGACACACUUUGACAGACAUAAUAUAGUUUUGCACCAAUGUAGUCAUUUAAAUAUUUUCUUUGACUGCCUAAGUCUUUUGCACAGUACUGUAUGUGCCAGUUCUGAGUUUUUUUACAUCACUCACGUGAUAAGAAUGGACUGGUUUUCUCUGUCUGCAAGAGAGAAGAGAGAAAAGCAUGUGUUUUUAUGAUUUCUUCUGCAUAUUCCAAAUGCAGAGUGGCACUGAGGGGAAAUAAUUUGGCUGCACAGUGCUUUACUUGAAUUUGAAAAAGUGGUCUGUAUUUACCUGUCAGCAUGUACUGGUAGCCGUUAUCAGAGAUGGAGAAGAUGUGUGGAGGAGCUUCACUUCUCUUCUUGCCUCUGUAAGCAAUGACCACUUCCUGGUUGUAGACUGGCAGCCACUUGUAGGGAUUGACAGUGACACAGAACAGCCCAGAGUAGGUCUGCAAGAUGGAGAAAGCAGUCUGUCUCAGGGCUGUCAUUGAUUAUCUUGGUAGUACUUUUAAGGAUAAAAUGAUGAAUCUGCUGGCCCAGCUCUGCGUGUGUGGAGCUGCAUGUUAUCUCUGUGUCAGCGUGGAGUUUUCUCCAGGUACUCCAAUCCCCCCCCCAGCCCAAAAACAUGCUGAGGUUAAUUGGAGUUGCCAGAUUGUCCAUAGGUGUGCAUGUGUGAAUGGGGUGUGUGUGCACAGCUUCUGGGAUAGGCUCUUUACCAUACAAAGCGGGUAUAGAAGAUGGAUGGAUGGAUGGAUGGAUGGAUGGAUGAAUGGAUGGAUCUGUAUACUCACGUAGAUCAUCCAGGCUGCAUAACGCUCUUUGAGGUUAAACAGCACAGCGGGUUCAUGAAGGAAGGUGAACAUCGCCAUGUCUUCGAUUUUAUCGAACUUUGGCGGGUUCUGGGGGUGGACGUCUGCUUCUUUCACAGUAACAGUCUGUGAACAAGCAGCAACAAUAAUCAAAGAUAUAAGUCACUGUAAAGAUAGAGCGUAGAAAACAUCACACUCUUUUCGCUGUCUUACUUCGUGAACAACUAACUCAUUUAACCCGCUUAGUUGCAUGUUUUAUAAUCCCAUUUCCAAAAAAGUUGGGACGCUGCAUAAAAUGUAAAUAAAAACAGAAUGCAAUGAUUUUCAAAUCAUAUAAACGCAUAUCUCAUUUAAAAUAAAACAAAGACAACUUAGCAAAUAUUGAAACUCAGAAAUUUUAUUGUUUUAUGACAAAUAUAUGCUGAAUUUGAUUUUAAUGCCAGCAACACGUUUCAGAAAAGUUGGGAGAUGGGCAACAAAAGACUGGAAAAGUUGUGCUGACGAUAAACGAUCCACUUAACGAUCUGUGAUUGCGUUAAAGAGCCGCUCAGAUCUCACCCGUCCUCUCUCGGCUACACUGCUUACCGGUUCAAAUUCAAAAUAUUGCUUCCCACUUUUAAUGCUCUGCAUGACCUUGUUCCUUAAAUUGUGGCAGGGGGAGCCAGGAGCAGGACUGAGAACCACUGUGUGAUGCUAAAACAAAACACCUGGUUGAACUAAUUAGGUUAAUUGGCAACAAGUCAGUAAGAUGACUGGGCAUAAAAAGAGCCUCCCAGAGAGAAAGAGUCUCUGUGCACUAAAGAUGGGAAUAGAUUCACCACUCUGUGAAAGACUGUGUGGGCAAAUGGUGCAAUAAUUUAAGAAUGAUGUUCCUCAAAGUAAUAUUGCAAAGAAUUUGGGAAUUUCAUCAUCUACAGUACAUAAUAUCAUAAAAAGAUUAAGAGAAUCCAGAGAAACCUCUGUUUACAAGGGACAAGGUCAAAAACCAAGAUUGGAUACCCGUGAUCUUCAGGUCCUCAGGGUGCGCUGCAUUAAAAACAAACAAGGUUCUGUAGUGGAAAUCACUGCAUGGGCUCAGCGACAGUACUGAAAACCAUUGCGUGUGAAUGCAGUUUGUCGCUGCACCCACAAAUGCAGGAUGAAACUCUACCAUGCAUAGAAGAAACUAUAUCUAAACAUGAUCCAGAAACGGUACUGACUUCUCUAGGCCCAAGCUCGUUUAAGAAGGUUGCCCAUGGCUUGGGUAGCUUGCACAUCUGAGAAGGCACCAUUAAUGCUGAAUGAUAUAUAUAGGUUUUAGACCAACAUAUGCUAUCAUCCACACAACGUCUCUUUCAGAAAAGAUGAUGUAUAUGUCAGUGAAACAAUGGCAAACAGCAUUCUGUGUGUAUUACAACAGCAUGGCUCUGUAGAAGAAGAGUCAGAGUGUUAGACUGGCCUGCCUGCAGUCCAGAUCUGUCACCCACUGAAAACAUUCAGUGCAUCAAACGAAAAAUGUGACAAAGGAGACCCUGAACUGUUGAGCAGUUGAAAUUGCAUAUCAGGCAAAAAUGGGACGACAUUUCACUUUCAAAACUCCAGCAACUGGUCUCCUCAGUUCCCAAAUGUUUACAGAGUGCUGUUAAAAGAAGAGGUGAUGCAACACAGCGAUAAACACACCCCUGUCCCAGCUUUUUUGAAACGCAUCAGAUUCAAAUUGAGCAUUUAUAUACAUAAAACAAUAACAUUUCUCUGUUUCAAAAUUUGAUUUGUUGUCUCUGUUCUGUUUUCAUUAAAUGAGGUUAUGUAAUUUGUAAAUUAUUUCAUUCUGUUUUUAUUUACAUUUUACACAGCGUCCCACCUUUUUUUGAAAGAGGGCUGGAUGUGAGAGCGCUGUAUAAUUAGAUUUUGUCCACAAAAGCAUCUUAGUAUUCAGAAAAUGCUUCUACAAGAAAGGACACAAAGCCAAUGACGAAGACAAACAUGAGAAUAUGAAACAGAGGUGGACGUUUUUAGAUCCAGAAAGUGAAGGUUUUGUUUCAACCAACCAGUUGAGUAUAAAGAGUCACACACAGAGUACUCAACUGCUUGGUCGAAACAAAAUCUUGCCUUGGGUUUUAACUUUCUGGACCUGAAAUGUCCACUUCUGCAUGAGAAUUACAGGUUUGGUCAUGAACAAAACUUUUGAGGUUGAUUUUCUUGUACAAGACCACUGUUCAGAAUGUAGCCAUUGUCUGUUAUAUAUCACUAUGCAUUUUGGAACUUUGGGUCUCCCUCGUAACACCCUAAUCUGUUUUCUUGUCAGAUAUUAUGCUUUCUUACCUUCCCUUUCGCAGUUUCACAAGUGACUUUGUCUCCAUCCCGGCUGAUGACGGACCCCUUGACAUACUCUUCCUCAGUGUCCGGCACGAAACACUCCUUCUUCAUGUCAAAUGGGCGAGUUUGGGCCUCCAGACGUUCCCUGUCUGAUUUCCGCAGGAACGGGGCGGCGGCCCCAAACUCUGCCAUUUGUGCAUCUCCCAUUGUUUUUAGCCUUUCAGUUGUAAAAAUGUUGAUGCAUGUUUAUGUUUACAAUAUAAUACAGCAUUCCAAAUUUAACAUGAAUCAUUUUAGGUAUGAAUCAGUGUGAGCACAGCACUGAACUUCAAUACCCUUCAAUUAGCAAGACUUAAUUUAUUAAUUAGGCAGAAUCAUUGAUCGCUGCCAGACUCUUAUGGACUAAUGCUUAAAAGGCUGAAGCAUGUUAUUUUAUAUGGUCAUGUGGUCUUUUUAUAUGAGGUGUGAGGUUCUCAGUUCCCCUGCCAUGCUGAAUGGCAGACUGACACCUGAGAGUCUUCAGUAUUUCCUCAAAAUAAGCUGUCAUACCAAAUAUUUGGACACAGCUGCAAAUCAGUAUAGCUGCUGAAACACCGCAUAAAGCAUCAAAACCUUUUUAAAGAGAGGUCACAUUAGUGUUUCUUAUUUUAAAGCAAUUCUUUGGUUUAUUUGAUGUAUAUUAUUCAUUCGCUCUAUAUUGUUAUAUAUUGUUAUUUAUAAGCUAUACAAUGACCUAUGCUGAUGUGACACACAUUUUUUUUUAUAAGAUUUGCAUCAAUAAAGUUAUUUGAAUUUUU